rnacentral:rRNA from 1 species
UUAUUAGAUCAAAAUCAAUCGGCUUCGGCCGUCUCCUUGACGACUCUGAAUAACUUUGGGCUGAUCGCACGGCCUUGCGCCGGCGACGUAUCCUUCGAAGGUGUGACCUAUCAACUGUCGACUGUGGCAUAGACGCCCACAGUGGUUUUGACGGGUAACGGGGAAUUAGGGUUCGAUUCCGGAGAGGGAGCCUUAAAAACGGCUACCACAUCCAAGGAAGGCAGCAGGCACGCAAAUUACCCAAUGACCGAAGGUCGAGGUAGUGACGAAAAAUAACGAUACGGGACUCAUCCGAGGCCCCGUAAUUGGAAUGAGUACACUUUAAAUCCGUCCCCGAGGAUCUAUUGGAGGGCAAGUCUGGUGCCAGCAGCCGCGGUAAUUCCAGCUCCAAUAGCGUAUAUUUAUGUUGCUGUGUUUAAAAAGCUCGUAGUUGGAUCUCGGCAGCUAGAGGGCGGUCCGCCUUGUGGCGUUACUGCCCUAUUAGCUGUAGUUUUGUCAGAGGUUUCUGGGUGCUCUUCACCGAGUGUCCUGAGAUGCUGGCAGGUUUACUUUGAAAAAAUUAGAGUGCUUAAAGCA